rnacentral:lncRNA from 1 species
GGGGCUAUUUGACAAGAAGCCAGGGGAAAUUGCAGAGGCUGGAACUGAAGAUGGAGAUCAGCCUGCAGUUGAGAACCCCAAGAAUGAUGAUAGGGAGGAUUCCGACGGAGAUAAUUCAGACGAAUCUCAUGAAACUGCAGAGGAUGUACCUAGAUCGUCCUGGUUGUCUUUUUUGUGGCCUAAACGACUACUUGCAGCUCUUGGGCGGCCAGGAUGUACGAUUUUGUAAUCAACGUCUCAAAUAAUUAGAGACGGGUUCUAGAGGAAGAGUCAGGUGUAUACAAUUGUCGACGAUAGAGUGAAUAGAAGAGUCCAGAUACAACGUUAAAUCAUUCUUCUUUCUAUACUAUCAAACAGUGGAGAUUAGCA